UACGAAGGGGACUAGCGUUGUUCGGAUUUACUGGGCGUAAAGCGCGCGUAGGCGGAUCACUAAGUCAGGGGGUGAAAUCCCGAGGCUUAACCUCGGAACUGCCUUUGAUACUGGUGAUCUGGAGAUCGGGAGAGGUUGGUGGAAUUCCGAGUGUAGAGGUGAAAUUCGUAGAUAUUCGGAGGAACACCAGAAGCGAAGGCGGCCAACUGGCCCGAUACUGACGCUGAGGCGCGAAAGCGUGGGGAGCAAACAGG
rnacentral:rRNA from 1 species